CAAGAGAACUGGCCAUAGCUAACAGCUACAACAUGGCUAAAAAUUGUUCCGUUGCUCACUAGCAACAAUCUUGGCGAUAGACCCUGCGUAGCUAAAUUGCUACAGAGUUAACUAUGGCUUAUCCUUAGCAAUGACGUAGCUAAUGUAGCUACGUAUUUGGCUAGAAAUGUUUGUAUCUAAAAUGUUGGAUUCAAAUUACCAACAAACAUGUUAUAAUAGCAAAAGAAUGAUCUAUGUAGCACAUUUAGCAAUAGAUCCAUUGGUGAAUACGAAUCUAUACAAACUGAUUUUCAGAAUAUAAGAUUUAAGUAAAUUGUUUUACAACAUUAGAGUAUUAUAAGAAAAAAUCAGAAAUUCCCAAAUAUAACAGAAAUGUCGAUCUGAAAAUUCUAGUAUCCAAACAAAAAGCUAGAUCUAAUAAGUGAAAACUAAAGGCAUAAGAAAAACUUCUGUUGGAGAUGUUUGUGUGUGGGGAUGCUGAGAUGUAGCUGCCACCGUGAAUCAGUGAGGAGCUUGGACUGUGGAAGAGCAGAGAGAAGCUUGGACUUCAGGGGAGCAGAGAAGAGACAAGAAUGCAGAGGAAAAUAAAAGAGAUUGGACUGCGAGUCUGCGACCACCGAGGAGACGACCGGAGACUGGACUGCUAUACUGCCUUGCACCACCAGAGAGGAGAUGAACGGAGAGGACACCACACCUUGCACUACCGGAGAAGAAAGAGGAGGUGAGAUUCGUAGAGUUGAAAAAGAGAUGAGGAGGUGAGAUUCGUAGAAGGGAAAGAAAAGAUGAGGAAGGGGGAUGAAGAUCUCAGAUCUGAGAAAGAAAGAUAAAAAGGGAUAAAUAAAAAAAAAUGUGUUUCAUCCGUUAGAUUAAACUACUCUCAACGGCUACGAUUAGAAAAGAAGUUAUCCUCGCCCUUUUACAUCGACCACUAACAAUCCACCUUCUUAUUUUAUUUUAAAAUCUUGGUCAGAGAGACGCGGGGAAGGAGGGAUAAUUUG
rnacentral:lncRNA from 1 species